UAUGUGUCUUCUUCAUAUCCCCAAUACAAGUUCACUUUCUUUCCCUCCUAUGGCUUCACCGCCGACAAUUAACCUUAUCUGAGUAGUCUUCUCCAGCAUACCCAUCGGAGAUCCCUGCUAUUCUUAGAAUAUCACAGCUAACAGAACUUGAAGACGAUUGUUGCAAAAUAGGUCAAAUUAGGGUUUGUAUUUUUUUUUUGGAAAAAAUAGAGGUUAUGAGCACCUCCGUACAAUUUCCGGAAUAAAAAAACGUGACCACCAUCUUCAAUCAAACAAAGCACACGAUGACGACGAACAAAGCUUUACAUUGUCAUGAUUCUGUUUUCAAGAGGGUCUCUUGCUUAGAUAAAAUGUCUGGCACAUUACACUCAAUGGGAUACAAGAUAACGUAAAAGAUUUCACUUCAAAAAUGUUCCAAUAAUCUGGUAAAUGGAAGAGGCAAAACAACAAGAUCAGUGUCAUGUUUCAAUUGCAGUUUCAAGCUACCCAGGUCUAAUAUAAGUAUUCAGACUUCUUUAAAAAAAACAAUACCUUUAUAGCAUAAAUGGAACAGGAAAAAGUUUAGCAUAAACGGAGCUCUUAGAUGCUCAGGAGUGACAAGAUGAAUAAAGUGGUGAAGAGUUGCAAUAUGCACUUUCUAUAAUGAAGUUAAGAGACGGAGAGAUAUGUUGGUGGCUUGGAUGUUAGAAGUUCAUGAUUUUUCAAAUUGUUUCGAGCAACUAGAUUAGAUGUUGUUACAAUAAGGAGGAUGCAUUCGUAUAUGUUGCGUAGGGAUGAGCUUGGUACCGAUCAGUACCGGUAUCGAAAAUACCGGUACGGUACAGUUUGGUACCGGUAAAUACCCGUACAGGACCGGCACCGAAAACGUCAAAAGUUGGUAGCAAAUUGGUACCGAAAUAUAUUUUCGGUUCGAAAAAUUCGGUACCAGUACUCGGUACUGUUUGCUCAUCUCUUUGCGUGUUAAUUUGUAAGCCCCGGACGCAUCGCGGCAGGGAGGCUUCCUUCUAGUUUACUCAAAUAAGAAACAAUAUCUAAUGUUUCCAUCGGUGAUAUUUGCAUGAGUCCCGUAUAAAUGAAUUUUUUUUCCUAUUACACUGCAGGUUGCAAAGAUUUGAAAAAAAAUAUUAAUAUUUAUACAUCCCUACCCUUUAUCUCUCUAUAUAUACAUAGAUAUAUAUACAGGUUUACAAUAAAUAUUAAUUAAGUAGAUGUUUGCUACGGCAGGAAAUUGGGAAUUGGAAGGUUAAACCUCAUAACAAACAUGGUUCUAGACAGAUAAUAUAAAUGAGAUUGGAUCCUGUACAAGAACAACUUUGUGUAUGAAAUAUACGCGACAAGGAAAGAAGGACAUGUGUCAUUGGCAGUAAGGAUAAUGUAGUCCUUUAUCACUUGAAACAACUUCCCCCUUAAUUUUCAAACUGCUCUAACUUUUUAUACGUUAUUUUUUUUAAU
rnacentral:lncRNA from 1 species